CUAAUCCUCUUUCCUUCUUCAUUUUUCCUCGCUAUGAACAAAAUGCCAUCGUUUUUGUCUGUACACAGUUUUCCACUUUUCUCCAUUUCUUUACGCAACAUCCAUGCUCGCAAGCCUCUCUUCGUUAUCACUUCCAAACAAAUUACGUCCACCAGAAUUCUUUUUCUUCUGCUAUUUUUUGUGUAUGUAAUCUGCUUCAUGUUGCAUAUUGGUAAUAUAUUUUUUGUAGGCAGUAAAUGGCGGUGGUGUUGCAGUCAAAAGACGUGCUAAAAGCCUAGAAUGGGCUUAUAGAGGAGAAGGCGCAGUGAAUCUGGUUCUUGCUUAUUCUGGAAAAUCUGCUUAUUUUGUAUGUUUUCUUAUUCUAUUUUUUACUCUUACCUUUUAUUGUGUAGACUACUUUUUAGUUUAAUUUUUGUUAGCCUAAUUGGUUAACGCUUGUUCAAACUUCAGAUAAUUUCGUUUUACAUUAUGCAGUUGCAGACCCACGUGAUCUCUCUCAAAAGUUGUUCCUGAUGUCGUUUCCGGUUUCCAUCCAUCACUAUUCAACUAAAAGGCCGAGUUUCGAUGAGUCAUUCUUCCGAGUGAUCGAAAUCGAGAUUCAGCGUGCCCAGGAGAGCGAGGACGAUGACGAGGUUUUAUUUCUUUUAUCUUUUUAAUAUCUUUAUGUAAAUAACUUGUCUUUGUUAUGUGGAUAGAUUGCAAGAAAACGAUGGAAAAUAAGGGGUGAUGUAUUCAAUUUCCUUUUGAAAUUGAAUACCAUCCUCGACAACAAACCAUAACCCUAGCCAGAGAAUAUCAGGAUGAAGCUAUCAUUCUAUACUGGUAAAUUCCCUUUUUUUUUUUUUUUCUUUUUCUUUCUUAGUUUUAGUAGUUUGAUUUAUUUUUUAUGGGUUUUCUGAAGUGCGUUUUACUGCAAUUCCUCGGUGGCUUCAAGUAAUGCUAAGUGGAAAGUUUUUUCAAUUCUUCUGCAACUUAUUGAGAAUUUUCAGAUAAGAAGGUAUGUUUAUGAAGAUGUUUUUGUGCUUAAAAGAUGCAUAGAAAUUUGUGGUCGGUUACCUUUGGAAAUAAGUUAUAAUGUCUUUUCUGAUAUGGUGCGAUCGUUUUCUCACUUUCUGAUUUACAGUCUUGCACAAAGUUGUAUCAUAUUAUGAAAAUUGAAUGAUUGGGCGUAGGAAGUAUAGUGACAGUGGAUUGACCAGCUUUUUAUAUAGAGUUUGAUUUGUUAUUUCUUUAAUGGCGAUCAAUCUCCUCUUUCAUAAAAUAUGGAAAUGGAAGAGCCAUAAAUUGACAAACUAAAACCUGGUCCAGUGAAUUUCAUUAUAUAUAUGGAACAUAAAAUAUGGAUGUUAAGUUGAAAUUAUUGAAUUUUUAUUUUGAACCCCACCCAAUCUUGAGGGCCCCCACGGCCCCACUCCUAGAGCUUUGUGAGGGAGGUAAAUCGCGGUAUAUGUCCCAACAGGUCAGGGAAUAAGAGCUGUCUGUAUACUGCGCCUACAAGGAGUCUAAUUCCAUAUUUUGGGAAUCGAACCCCUACACUGCGGUUGCCAGCAAUGCAUGAGAUAACUUCACUCUUAUCAUUUGCACCACUGCGCUAUAUCUCGAGGGGCGAAAUUAUUGAAUUUUUAAAUAUCACCAGUAGAUGGUCCAUCUCAAACUAUAGCGUCAAAAUAUUUUUAGAUGCUUUUAAUAUAUGUUUUAUUUGCG
rnacentral:lncRNA from 1 species